rnacentral:tRNA from 1 species
GGAGAGUUGCUGGAGUGGCUGAACAGGCACGACUGGAAAUCGUGUGUACCUUUAUCGGUACCAAGGGUUCGAAUCCCUUCCUCUCCGCCA